rnacentral:rRNA from 1 species
UACGUAGGGGGCAAGCGUUGUCCGGAUUUACUGGGCGUAAAGCGCCCGUAGGCGGCCUGUCAAGUCCGGCCUGAAAGCCCCCCGCUCAACGGGGGAGGGUGGCUGGAAACUGGCAGGCUUGAGGGCGAGAGAGGAGGGUGGAAUUCCUGGUGUAGCGGUGAAAUGCGUAGAGAUCGGGCGGAACACCCGUGGCGAAGGCGGCCGACUGGGCCGGCCCUGACGCUGAGGCGCGAAGGCGUGGGGAGCGAACGGG